rnacentral:rRNA from 1 species
AGCAGCCGCGGUAAUUCCAGCUCCAAUAGCGUAUAUUAAAGUUGUUGCAGUUAAAAAGCUCGUAGUUGAAUUUCGGGAUCAAUACGUCGGUCGUGCCUUCGGUACGCACUGGCGUCGUUGAUUUCUCCCUUCUGAUGAACCAUGAUGUCAUUAAUUUGGUGUUGUGGGGAGCCAGGACUGUUAUUUUGAAAAAUUAGAGUGUUUAAAGCAGGCAAACGCUUGAAUACAUUAGCAUGGAAUAAUGAAAUAGGGCGUUCGGACCUAUUUUGUUGGUUUCUAGGUACAACGUAAUGAUUAAUAGGGAUAGUUGGGGGCAUUAGUAUUCAAUUGUCAGAGGUGAAAUUCUUGGAUUUAUUGAAGACUAACUACUGCGAAAGCAUUUGCCAAGGAUGUUUUCAUUAAUCAAGAACGAAAGUUAGGGGAUCGAAGACGAUCAGAUACCGUCGUAGUCUUAACCAUAAACUAUGCCGACUAGGGAUCGGAUGAAGUUAAUUUUUAA